UGAGAAAUCGUUGGUCUAAUCUUGGUGAUAUGGUUCUUAACCAAGGGUGGUUUCAUCCCACAAGGGCAUUCAGUUACGUCUGGAGACAUUUUCGGUCAUUCCACCUGGGUGAGGACGCCGAGGAAAAUGUCGCUGACAUCCUGAAGAUUGAAGGCAGAAGCUCGUAAACACUUCGUGAUGCCCGCAACAGCUGCCGCAGCACAGAGCCACCCAGGCCCAAGCGUCUGCAGUGCCUGGGCCGUGAAUCCUCAUGCAAUUUAAUAUUUUUGCUAAUAUUUAAUGUAAAACUAUUUCAAACACCUCGGCAUCUCUUGAAAAGAUUGCUAUUUUUAGCAAUCUGUUAUGUGGUUGACUGCAUACAUACAUAUUAUAAUACUAAACCAGUCUUGGGUUGCUAAUGUCAUCGGCAAACAUUAUCCCCUAUUGUUGAUAUGUGGUUAUUCAUUUUUUUUUGUUAAUAAUCAUCCCUGGACUCAACUAAAUUCUCACGUAUAUUUUGCAAACAUACUCAAUAAUGUGUUUGCCAGUUUCCUUUUCAUAAUAUCCUGUGGGCUGGGUGUCCAGUGACCCCGGGCUCAUAAGCUUUUGCAUGGGUUUCUUUCUUUUUCAGUCAUGAGCACAUCUAGCCGUUGUGGGGAUCAGGGAAGGGGUUGGCAGGUUGAGAAAAUACAGUCCGUAUGCGCUGGAGCACAUGAUCAGCUGACGUGACAUGUUCUUGGGCCUGGUAUACUGUCAUUUUCAGCUGGCGCUGAAGCAGUCCUGACAUCCAUGCGUUUGGACCACAAAGAUGUCAGGAGGAAGUUCAAAGCCCCAGAAUCUGAGGAAGGUCCACCCUGGGCAACACCAAGACUGCAAGGAGCCCACGCGUGAGGCCCCCCCAGUGGGAAGCGACUUCUGUUUCCUGGAGGUGACUUCCCUUGGAGCGACUGUGGGUGAGGAAAGCUGCUUGGAAGGCGCGGGCGACACAGACAGUUGCCACCCAGGGCAUUUGCAGAGUCAAAUAGAUGAAUACCUGCCUUCCUGCACACUGAGUGGUCACGGGCCCAGCACGCCUGGUACUUGGCAACAUCCCAAAUGUUGGCUCAGCCGUUAGAAAUAUCCCCUCCGGAUAAUUUGUGGACGACGGGAAUGCUUGCCCACAUGCUCAGUGUGACUCCAAUAAGCGGUUGGUUCCUACUAGAAGGCUCCGUACUUGCUGCAGAUGAUGUGUCCCGGUGGCAGAUCCGCUGCUCUUUGCAGCAGAAGUGCAAUCAGUUUUUGCGAGGUCAUGUCUGUCACGCUCUCAGAUGCACGCCAGGUUCCUAUCUGAUGUCUAAGCCAUUGUUCCCGUAAUGAAACCCCGAAGUGCACAGAACUUCAUUCCAUGGCCCAAAUAAAAAUCGACAUGU